UUUCCGUAGGUGAACCUGCGGAAGGAUCAUUACAGAGUUCAUGCCCUUCGGGGUAGAUCUCCCACCCUGUGUAUUUAUACCUUUGUUGCUUUGGCAGGCCGCCUUCGGGCACUCGGCUCCGGCUGAGGUGCGCCUGCCAGAGGACCCCCAACUCUGUGUUUAGUGUCGUCUGAGUAUUAUAUUAAUACGUUAAAACUUUCAACAACGGAUCUCUUGGUUCUGGCAUCGAUGAAGAACGCAGC
rnacentral:misc_RNA from 1 species